rnacentral:rRNA from 1 species
CGGUCCGAGUUGUAAUUUGUAGAGGAUGCUUCGAGCAUGGUCUGGCCUAAGUUCCUUGGAACAGGACGUCAUAGAGGGUGAGAAUCCCGUAUGCGGCCAGGUGCCUACGCUCAUGUGAAGCUCCUUCGACGAGUCGAGUUGUUUGGGAAUGCAGCUCAAAAUGGGUGGUAAAUUUCAUCUAAAGCUAAAUAUUGGCCAGAGACCGAUAGCGCACAAGUAGAGUGAUCGAAAGAUGAAAAGCACUUUGGAAAGAGAGUUAAACAGUACGUGAAAUUGUUGAAAGGGAAGCGCUUGCAACCAGACUUGCGCGCGGCCGAUCAUCCGGUGUUCUCACCGGUGCACUCGGCCGUGCUCAGGCCAGCAUCGGUUUUGGCGGCUGGAUAAAGGCCCUAGGAAUGUAGCUCCUCUCGGGGAGUGUUAUAGCCUAGGGUGCAAUGCAGCCUGCUGGGACCGAGGACCGCGCUUCGGCUAGGAUGCUGGCGUAAUGGUUGUAAGCGGCCCGUCUUGAGACACGGACCAAGGAGUCUAACAUCUAUGCGAGUGUUUGGGUGUCAAACCCAUACGCGUAAUGAAAGUGAACGGAGGUGAGAACCCUUAAGG